GUUUGUGAUAUACCUAUGGAAUGUAAAAAUAGCAACGAAUUCAUAGAUUUAAUUAUUAUUUCUGUGGCAUGUCCAAAAAGGAAAUAAAAUCAAAAGUUUCUAUUAGGAUUGAAGCUUGUCUGGGAACACAGGAGGUGGUCUCCUAUUGUUUCUGUAGGUACACCUUACUUACACGUCCAGACCAGGCUUGGAAACCUGAGUGUAUAUAUCAAAUGAUAUGUAAAUAUCUAGUGCACUUGUUUGGGGCCAAAAUCUAAUUUUGAGUGAGUUAUUAGGACUUCUGUUAAAUUUUCCGUUUUGUUUUCAUCUGUUGUUGGCGUAAAUAAUUUGUCAUCUGUUUUUUCUAUGCACUGUGACUAUUGUUUGUCCAUAAUAAAUAUAGAUAUUGUUCUAAAUUGUAUUUUGAGGAUAUUUUUAGUCUAAUUUAUCUGGGGGACCAAGGCACCCCAUGUAUAAAUUGUGUUGGCAGCAUUAAAAAUAGCAAUAUUUAUAUAUCAAUUUAUAAUUAAGUGGGGGUGGCAUUAAAGGGUAUUUUUAUAAUUAUUUCCAGACUAGUGCAGACAAAUAGUAUACUUUAACCCUUUCACCACCAAAACUAAGUCACACACACUCUUGAAGUACUGUGCGUUCUUGUCUAACUUUACCAUUUCCAGUAAGAGCUAAUUCCAGCAGGGCAAUAGCUACUUAUAUCCCCACUGUCUACUGGAACUAUACGUCAAGAAAAACAGAAAUUUUACUUACCAUAAAUAAUUUUUUCCUUAAUAUAGUGGCAGUACAAUUUUCUUCCAUCAUUUGAUAAUAAAUUUAUAUUUUUGCAUUUAAGCAGGUUUUCUCUUGAUAUUUACAGAGGGAGUAAAGAAGGGUUCCAC